GAGGAGGUUUACUAUGAUCACCUGCGCAGUGCCACAAAGAGCCCCAACCCCUCCCUGACCUUCUGCGUGAAGACACACGACAGACUGUAUUACAUGGUGGCCCUGUCUGCAGAGGCCAUGAGGAUAUGGAUGGAUGUGAUAGUGACAGGAGCCGAGGGCUACACGCAGUUCAUGAACUGAGACAAAACCCACCGCUCAAAACGGAAACCGUUCGGCAGGGAGACUUCAAAUGACCCAGACCUGUUAUUCCCAAUGAGAGGAAAAACUUUAUUUUGUUACUUCCUUUUUUUCUUCUUCUCGUGUUUCCUGGAGAUGUUAUAUAUUCACUCAGAUGCACAGACAGAUAUCCACCAGAGGCUUUCCAUGUCUGCCUGGAUUGAAAAAGGGAGAAGACGAAAAGACCCGGUGAACCAAAACCUGCAGGUGGUGGCUCACUCACCAUCGACGAAAAUGCCUUUUUGCCGUCAGAGAUAUUUUUCAGUUGCAGUUUAUCUUGUCUGAAUGUGCAGAAACUUGACUUUCAUUUCAGUUUGUCCCACGAUUUGUCUUUUCAAACAUAAUGGGAAAAAUGCCAAAUGCCAUCAAGCCAUUCUGGAAUAGUGUUGCGUUAAAUAUUUGAUGGGAUCAACCGACACGAAAUGAUGAGAGAAUAUAAAUUAACUGCAGUACAUUUAAAUGAUGUUUUAAAUUAAAUGGAGUAUUACAUUCACAUUUAAAGAUCCGGUAUCACAAAAACAAAGACUUGAUUCACCAAAGCUUACCUACCAGCUCAGGAGUCUGUAUUUAUUGUAGAGGGACAUCAGCGACUCCUGUCCAAGUGUAUCCCACUGCGUCUCUGUGUUCCCAGCUCAUUCUUUUAGAUACAGAACCACAAACGCAUGCACACACACACAUACCACGUACAACAGUAG